rfam:Eutrema salsugineum unplaced genomic scaffold scaffold_12, whole genome shotgun sequence.
AAACCAUGGUGAUGACAUUCUCUAAUGUACCCUUUAUAACGAUCCCAAGCUUCAUGAAAAAGUUCACCUUUUUUUCUUUAAAACCUAUAAAUCUUGUCUUAAAGAAGUUU